rnacentral:rRNA from 1 species
ACCCUGAUCUGCGGGAUAGCUCCGGGAAACUGGAAUUAAUACCGCAUGUGCCCUGAGGGGCAAAGAUUUAUCGGAUUGGGAUGAGCCCGCGUCGGAUUAGCUAGUUGGUGGGGUAAAGGCCUACCAAGGCGACGAUCCGUAGCUGGUCUAAGAGGAUGAUCAGCCACAUUGGGACUGAGACACGGCCCAAACUCCUACGGGAGGCAGCAGUGGGGAAUAUUGGACAAUGGGCGCAAGCCUGAUCCAGCCAUGCCGCGUGAGUGAUGAAGGCCCUAGGGUUGUAAAGCUCUUUCACCGGGGACGAUAAUGACGGUACCCGGAGAAGAAGCCCCGGCUAACUUCGUGCCAGCAGCCGCGGUAAUACGAAGGGGGCUAGCGUUGUUCGGAAUUACUGGGCGUAAAGCGCACGUAGGCGGACAUUUAAGUCAGGGGUGAAAUCCCGGGGCUCAACCCCGGAACGGCCUUUGAUACUGGGUGUCUUGAGUUCGGAAGAGGUGAGUGGAAUUGCGAGU